rnacentral:piRNA from 1 species
UGAGCACCAACGAUUGAAGACCGAUCC